rnacentral:rRNA from 1 species
CAGUAGCCGCGGUAAUACGGAGGGUGCAAGCGUUAAUCGGAAUUACUGGGCGUAAAGCGCACGCAGGCGGUCUGACAAGUCAGAUGUGAAAUCCCCGAGCUUAACUUGGGAACUGCAUUUGAAACUGGCAAGCUAGAGUCUUGUAGAGGGGGGUAGAAUUCCAGGUGUAGCGGUGAAAUGCGUAGAGAUCUGGAGGAAUACCGGUGGCGAAGGCGGCCCCCUGGACAAAGACUGACGCUCAGGUGCGAAAGCGUGGGGAGCAAACAGGAUUAGAUACCCCCGUAGUCCCUGUUCUUAUACA